AAAAGUCAAACAAAAUAAAUGUGCAACACAAAAAACGGGAAAGGCGCUGAGUUAUAUUACUAGGAGAGUUUCACCUCGCACGUUGGAUUUCCUCAUGGAGACCCUGAGUUACAUGCACGUCGGAGGCUAAGCUACUAAAGCUUUAAACGUUAGCAAGUUGGUUGACUAGCUAACUUGAACCAGCGCUCUUCCCACCUUGUUAAAAUCGAGGCUAUAAUAAAACAGAAAAGGUACAAAAACAAAUGUUCCUUUUCAAGAGUAGCUUUUUUCAGAAUGUAUUUCGAUGCCCAGAACCUCUCACAGAAACACAGCGCAGGCAACAAAACAUUGCUUUCUAAAUACUUAAAACUUUUGUAAAAUGGGCAACCAAACUGCCAAGCUUAUUUAAGUUUCAUCCACCUCGACUUUGGUUCCAACGAAAGACAAUGACGGGUAUUUUUUUUUUCUAUCUCCAAAAGUUGACCAAAUCUUUUUUGCAAUCUUCAGCGCGCUGUGGCUCCUGACGGGACACUAGGCUAUACCCUACUCUGUGCGUCCUAAAAUCCAGAGGCUAAAGCGCAUAGCAAGUCAAAGUGGAUAGCCAGAAUUGAGAGUUCUGGACAAAGACUUGGGAACACAAAAUGCCCGGGGUGGGACACGGGGCGGAGCACGGACCAAUUGUUAAGUUAAGAUCGUAGCCUUUGCCACUGCGCUCUCCAGCAGCAAAAACGCACUUUGAUCUGGUUUUAGAAAACCUGGACUGGAUUAGCAAGUGGAUUCUUAGACCCUUCUCGUACCUUCAAAGGGGCAAUGUUCUAACGCAACAAACAACGCAGGGUGUUCUUUGGGGAUGGCUGUGUGGACUUACUGUACUGCAUGGGCCGCAUAGGCAGUGAAGAUGCAUGGGCAAGCGGAGACAUCUCAUUUACAGAGUGAAAGACACCCAAGAGCCUGCUCAGUUGAUUCCAUGCGAGUGUGCCGGCUGGGGAGGCCCGGGGUUGAUGAAGAGCCCGCCUGCGACCCGAGAAACACCCAAACUAACUAUGUACUGCAUGGAGACUCUGGUCAGAAGUAGGGCACACUCUGGGGAAUAGAAACAACAGCUGAGAAGGAGCAGCAGGAAACUGCAUGAUUGAUUUUAAGAUAGAGCAUUUAUGAUAGUGUAUGAGAUAGAGCAUAUAUGAUAGUGUAUGAGACAGAGCAUAUAUGAUAAGUGUAUGAGACAGAGCAUGUGAUAGUGUAUAAGAUAGAGUGUGGCAGUUUCGCCUCUCUGUGGGAUAAUUCAAGGUAAGAAAAUGCUCCUGUGCCACUGUGAUCAAAUGUGAAGAAUGAAUGAGCGAGGUGUCAUGUUUCCAGUGUAUGAAGAUUUGUCUACUCUGGUUAAUAUGGAGAGGAAAACAUUUAGUUUAUAGUGUAUUUAAAGUGAACAGUAUACAUGUGAG
rnacentral:lncRNA from 1 species